rnacentral:rRNA from 1 species
GACGAACGCUGGCGGCGUGCUUAACACAUGCAAGUCGAACGGAAAGGCCCUGCUUUUGUGGGGUGCUCGAGUGGCGAACGUGUGAGUAACACGUGAGUAACCUGCCCUUUACUUUGGGAUAACUUCAGGAAACUGGGGCUAAUACCGGAUAGGAGCUCCUGCUGCAUGGUGGGGGUUGGAAAGUUUCGGCGGUUGGGGAUGGACUCGCGGCUUAUCAGCUUGUUGGUGGGGUAGUGGCUUACCAAGGCUUUGACGGGUAGCCGGCCUGAGAGGGUGACCGGCCACAUUGGGACUGAGAUACGGCGCAGACUCCUACGGGAGGCAGCAGUGGGGAAUAUUGCACAAUGGGCGGAAGCCUGAUGCAGCAACGCCGCGUGCGGGAUGACGGCCUUCGGGUUGUAAACCGCUUUCGCCUGUGACGAAGCGUGAGUGACGGUAAUGGGUAAAGAAGCACCGGCUAACUACGUG